CUGUGGUGCUGAGACCUGCCUGAUCACUUUAGAUGUUUUUCAGGUCCUGAAUUCCAGUGGAAUAGCUGAAGCCCACCAGUUCGAAGAUUCCCAGGGAGGAACCAAAUCGACACAUGAAUACAGCUUCUUUCAUCCCCCUGUCCAAUGACUUCGCCCUGUACUCUUUGACCAAUCAAUGAGCUCCACAUUUUAGCCUACUCCAAAACCCUUAAAAACGCUUACCCCAAAUCCCUCAGAAAUGGACUUGAGGUUUCCUCCUAUCUUGUUGUUUGGUAGCCUACGAUUAAACCUCUUUCUCUGCUGCAACCUGGUGUCUUGGGGUGUUGACUUGCAGAACACAUCUGGCAAUGGAUCUGUUACAGUUAUGCAUUCACCAUGGGAACAUGCCUGCUGGAGAAGGAA
rnacentral:lncRNA from 10 species